rnacentral:rRNA from 1 species
CGUCUAGGCGGGCUUUCAAGUCGAGCGUGAAACCCCACGGCUCAACCGUGGAUCUGCGCUUGAUACUGUUAGUCUUGAGUACGGAAGAGGAAAGCGGAAUUCCAGGUGUAGCGGUGAAAUGCGUAGAUAUCUGGAAGAACACCGGUGGCGAAGGCGGCUUUCUGGUCCGAUACUGACGCUGAAGCGCGAAAGUGUGGGGAGCAAACA